UCGGGAAUUUUGGGCAAUGGGCGAAAGCCUGACCCAGCAACGCCGCGUGAAGGAUGAAGUAUUUCGGUAUGUAAACUUCGAAAGAAUAGGAAGAAUAAAUGACGGUACUAUUUAUAAGGUCCGGCUAACUACGUGCCAGCAGCCGCGGUAAUACGUAGGGACCAAGCGUUGUUCGGAUUUACUGGGCGUAAAGGGCGCGUAGGCGGCAAUUCAAGUCAUCUGUGAAAUCUCCGGGCUUAACUCGGAACGGUCAGAUGAUACUGCUUUGCUAGAGUGCAGAAGGGGCAAUCGGAAUUCCCAGUGUAGAGGUGAAAUUCGUAGAUAUUGGGAAGAACACCAGUGGCGAAGGCGGCUAACUGGUCCGGUACUGACGCUGAGGUGCGAAAGCGUGGGGAGCAAACAGGAUUAGAUACCCCCGUAGUCCCUGAGCGGGCUGGCAAGGCGCAU
rnacentral:rRNA from 1 species